UCGAGCGGUAGCACAGAGAGCUUGCUCUCGGGUGACGAGCGGCGGACGGGUGAGUAAUGUCUGGGAAACUGCCUGAUGGAGGGGGAUAACUACUGGAAACGGUAGCUAAUACCGCAUAACGUCGCAAGACCAAAGUGGGGGACCUUCGGGCCUCAUGCCAUCAGAUGUGCCCAGAUGGGAUUAGCUGGUAGGUGGGGUAACGGCUCACCUAGGCGACGAUCCCUAGCUGGUCUGAGAGGAUGACCAGCCACACUGGAACUGAGACACGGUCCAGACUCCUACGGGAGGCAGCAGUGGGGAAUAUUGCACAAUGGGCGCAAGCCUGAUGCAGCCAUGCCGCGUGUGUGAAGAAGGCCUUCGGGUUGUAAAGCACUUUCAGCGGGGAGGAAGGC
rnacentral:rRNA from 1 species